CCUACGGGGUGCUGCAGUGGGGAAUAUUGGACAAUGGGCGAAAGCCUGAUCCAGCCAUGCCGCGUGUGUGAAGAAGGCCUUCGGGUUGUAAAGCACUUUCAGUGGGGAAGAAAGCCUUGGGGCUAAUACCCUCGAGGAAGGACAUCACCCACAGAAGAAGCACCGGCUAACUCCGUGGCCAGCAGCCGCGGUAAUACGGAGGGUGCGAGCGUUAAUCGGAAUUACUGGGCGUAAAGCGCGCGUAGGCGGUCUGAUAAGCCGGUUGUGAAAGCCCCGGGCUCAACCUGGGAACGGCAUCCGGAACUGUCAGGCUAGAGUGCAGGAGAGGAAGGUAGAAUUCCCGGUGUAGCAGUGAAAUGCGUAGAGAUCGGGAGGAAUACCAGUGGCGAAGGCGGCCUUCUGGACUGACACUGACGCUGAGGUGCGAAAGCGUGGGUAGCAAACAGGAUUAGAUACCCUGGUAGUC
rnacentral:rRNA from 1 species